ensembl:lncRNA novel transcript, antisense to RASGRP1
GCUGGGAUUACAGGCACCUGCCAUCAUGCCCAGCUAAUUUUUGUAUUUUUAGUAGAGACGGGGUUUCACCACGUUGGCCAGGCUGCUCUCGAACUCCUGACCUCAAGUGAUCCACCCACCUCUGCCUCCCAAAGUGCUGGGGGCAUGAGCCACCACGCCCAGCCCUAUUUUCCUGUUUUUAAUGUCAUUAUUCCCUUCUCUCAAACCUUGGCACCAUGUUUCCAAACUCUUGGUCUCCUUUCCUUGGUAAACUUUAUUUUGUCUUUUCCAUUGUCUCUGUUAGGUACCUGAUAAUUAGGACAUUGUGAGCCUAACAUUGAAAAGCAGCUCCUCUUGUCAUGAUUGUUAACAUUUUAUAGAUUAUAUUGCUCUAUAUUAUAUUCCACUGUGUGUUUGCCUGCUACUGUUGCUUUCACUAUUCUAAUAUGUGUAAAAGAUCAGCAUAUUCCCUGAUGUGUUAGAAAAGAUUCUCUUCGUUUAUAUUUAGGAGGGAGGCGUUUUCUAUGGUGAGCCACAAUACACUCACCUUUCUCUUGUUGUUGUUGCUAUAGGACUAAGAUCACUAACUUCUCUUAGGAAGAUGCUUAGGUAACCAUGAUGAUCCUAAACCAUAACCCUGAUGAACAUGUUAAAGAGACCUCUAGGGAAGGAGGAUUUAGGCAAGUUCAUUUUAGUUCCAUCUAGAAAAGGAGUGGUAUCAGCACAGUAAAGCUAACCAGUAGAUACUGUGGUUUUUCUCUGUGAGCCUACUAAACAGGGCUUUGGGCACUGGCACCAGCACUCUGAAAUGCCACCACCUGUGUGGUGAUAGGGAGCCCUGUAUAGCCUGUGCUACUUGUGUAAUGUGAACCAAGGCCCCCAGUGGGUUGUGAGAAAGCUGGAAUCAAUCAUCCUUUCUUCCUUCCCUCCCUCUCUUCCUCCCUGUUUCUCCCUCCCUGUUUCUCCCCUCCUCCUUUUUUGUUUUAGACUGCUUGUAAUCAGCCUGAUCUGAAUCUUCAGUCCACAUGCUCUUUCCUGGUUUGGCCCCACUUCUCUAAGAUAGUCUGAAAAAAAGGAAAAUGAAAAGGAAGGUACCUGUUCCAGUUCUUGGUAGGUAGGCAGUCUGAGGUGACGGAGCUCCUCCUUUGAUUUUAUGAGGGAGUCUUUAUUCUCCCACUUGACAAAAGCCCGCUUUCUGACCAAGACUGGGCUAGGACAUGGAGAGGUGGGACUGGGAAGCACAUAUAGAGUAUCCUGGGCUGUCUUCCUUGGGGAAGACAGCACAAAGGGACCUGAAGGGCCCUCACUGCCAAUCCAAGGCUGUGAUUCAGUCUGGGUGGCCUUGUGGGCAACAGCCCUCUUCAGCCGAAGAGAAAUCUUCUGUGAGGACACUCCCAUCAGCAUGAUGGUCCGAUCCUUACUCUCCUCACCAUGUUCCACAGCCUCCCCAUUAGGGAAUGUAAAAGGUCCUUCCUCAGGUGCUGUAGGAAGAUACAGGACAUGCUAGUACUCUAGCUCAGGAAAGCAGAGACUCAAGACUGAGACAUUAGUUUCAAUGAGACCUUUCUUAUUGUUACUGGAGUUCCAUAUGUUCAAAGAGGACCCAUUUUCAGGCACCCAGUUUAGGGGGUGAGGGCUAAAUCCAGGGGCUUUGGCCAAGACAUGGCCACUGGUGUCAAGCUACAUCCACCCUGAGAAAGAGCAUCUUCUGUUUGCACAAAGGUUGCUUAGAGGGUUUCUGUUUUUGGAGGUAAGUUGAAGCCCCUGCCUCAGUGCCACAGAGUUUCAUAAAAUAAAGAGAACAAGAACAAUAUCUAGACAGAAAUGCUCCAUAAAUACUUUUUUGGACCCUGGAAUUUGGGAGCUCUCCACAUUCAUGUCUCAGUCCUGAUACAGACACCCUCUAGCAGGUAAGUACUCUCUGGGAACCCGUUUGUACAGUGGGCACAGCUUAACCAUGAGAAAGAAGUUUUAGCUUUGUGGAAAUGUACCUUAAAAUGUAUUGCCCCUGUUUGAUACUGAGAGGAAAAAGGUAAGUUACUCUGGUUUUCUUUAACUAAGACCCACUACCCAGGAUCCAGCCUAGUAAUGUUAGCCAUAAGGAGUAAUUUCCUGGAAAAGUAAAGUAAGAGCAGAUGUAUUUGAGGUGGGCGAUAGAUAGGCUUUAAGAUAAACUGAAGAUCAUCUCAGUUUACUUUUUGGAAAGACUCAGCAGUGAUUAAAACAUUGGAUAGUCUGACUUUGAAGACAUUGGAUUAGUAUAGUCAAGAUGGCUUUAAAAAACAACAAAAAAGUUUUCUAAUUAGUAUUUGACCAGAAUCAACCAGUUGUAAAACUAGAAAUCUUACAAAGAUCUUAGUUUAAUUCUUGCCAAAGAGAACAUAAUUUAAAUUAACAUUUAAUAUUUAUCCAAUAAAGCUCAAAAUUGUAAUUACAUAGUUAUUUAAGUGCUCAAAUAUUUAAAUUGUUAUGGUCACCCUAAAAUAAUUACAUUUUUUUUUUGGAGGAGUAUUAUGGGUGAUUAUUUUUUAUAUCUCCAUUUUCCAACUUUUCUGUAAUACAGUUAUACAUUCUUUUUACCAACCUAGAUUGUCAAAUUAUGAAUAUAAUCCCCUCCAUUAUUUAGGUUGAAUUCCUAGACAUACAGGGAGCUUGGGACAGAAAUUCAGGCACUAUACACUUUGAGGAGCAAAAGGAAGAAAGCAGUAAGAACAAAAAGCAACAGAAAGCCCUUAAAAUUGCAGGAAGAGUCCUGAGAGAUGACAGUGUUAACAGAAAUUAGGAGAGGUACAAGUUUCAAGAAAGUGAAAGUUGAUGAGAUUGAGAAAGAUAGUAAUGGGCUAAAAGAAAUCACUGGAAAUUUUGAUUUGAUAAGCAGAAACCAUCCCCGAUAAUAAUGAGAUAGAAAUAACUAAGAAUGGAUGAUAUCCAAUAGUCAUUUUUGCCAUUAUAAAUAGACCUUGACUUUUAGCAACUUUAUAAUAAUAUAGUAAUUUUCAUUUUGUUGCCCAUGAUACAUGUAUGUUUAUCCUACCUAUUGGUCUACUUCCUGACAAGUACUUAUCUUACCACUGUGGGGCAGGGUUUGGAAAAGGGGAGAGAUGGCCUGGAGAGGAGAAAUCUCUAACAACUGCCCCUUCAGGGAUUCCUUUUUGAGGCCUCAGAUUCAGGCUGUUCUCUGCUGUCUUUUCCACUUGAAAAUCUGCAUUUUAUGUGACAGAAUUGUGGUGCCCUAAGGUUAUGUGUAACUCUGAAAAUACAGAGUGCAUGAAUGAAAUACAGGGUACAGGCCUAUUUUUCACAAUGGUGUUUGUGAUUUCUAUUAAAAGUUGAACAUCAAAUUCUUAGUUGAUUAGCAUAUUCUUUCUUAGAAAAGACCCUAAGAGGAUUUUUUCCCCCUAAGAACAAAACACCCCAAAAGUUUGAAGUCAGCCUGUGUUUAGAUAGAUAGUAAGGGGAAAGAUUUAGGAAGACAGAAAAUUUUUACUUGGCUGAUGUGAUAAAAAGGAAUGUGCAUUUCUUACAUGGAAGUGAAGCACUUAAGCUUUGAUCUAAUUGAUCAAUAAAUGCAUGUGGAUAUUUACCACUGAACAUUAGAAGUGCUUUAAAUGCAGAAUGUAUACUAUAUGGACUUUUUCUCUAGGCAUCUGUUGUAACGAUAGUGGCCUUACCACUUUAGGGAGCUUAUUUCAAAAGAGUAAUGAUAUUAACAUAUGGUACAUACGUGUUAAGCCCGAUUUUAAGUGCUUUAUAUAAAUAAACUCAUUUCUUAUUUCCCUUUUUGGUUCUACUUAGAAGUCACACAGCUUCUUAUAUUAAACUGGCACUAACCUAAUAAGCACUGGAUUUUUGCUGAAGACCUAUAUGUUCUUUAGUUAGUCAAGGUGAUCAGUGUUUUGACAUGCUGGCUAACCAGCCAGCCCAGAGAUCAGGGCCUAGUAUAGCACUAUGAAGCCUUGUGCCCCAACCGUCCCCAACAAGCCCUUCAUGUUACCCUUUUUUAAAUAGCUCCUCAUUUUAUCAUACAGACAGGCACCUGUCAUUUAAGACUCUCUAGACUGUCUCAUUUUUCUACUUCAUCUCUUACCUAAAUCGCCUUAACACCUUUUUUUUUUUCCCACUAUCCCAAUAGUACUAAAGCUGUUCUGCCCUUGGCCUUUUGCUCCUACUGUACAUCCUAUCUGGAAUGUGCUCUGUCCUCCUCCCAUAACUUAAUUCUACCCUUCCUUCAAGACUUAGCUGAAAUUCCACCUUCUCCAUAAAGUCCCAACAGCCCCAGUACAGCGAUCUCUCUGCUAUGUCCUCCUGUCAUUUGCUGUCACUGCAACCUAUUUGGCUCUUAGCAUAUACUCUUGCAUUGUUUCUAAACUGCUCUAUAUUUGUAUAUUAUCUUCCCCCUAACUAGAACUACUCCAUGAAGACAGAGACAGUCUAUUCUGCUUCUUUGCACUUUAGAUCUGGGGCAUCUCAAACAUACUCAAAGUCAUUUCCUUAUUGUACUGUUGUUUGCAUUUUAAUGUAAGUGAAUUUGCUAGUUUAUUUCUUGAAUGUUGAAUGUUUUGUCUCAGUCCUAGGAUUUUCCUUGUAUGAUUUGGAAUUUUAAUCUGCAAGCUCCACUUGAGUGGGAGUUUGCCCCCCGCCCUUCCUUUCUACAUUUAGCCUUCUGUUUCUAGAAUUUUGACAAUUACCUGCUACCUGGCCCCUCAGGGUUCCUCAGACUAGGACCUGGUCUUAAAUUAAUGGCUUGGGGUUCCUCUCCUGGAGAAAAAUUGGGGCUAUCAUAGACAGUCACUCAGCUAGUAGAACUCUGUCUGUGGCUAAGUCUGCUUCCUGCUGCUAAGUGACAGUCACAGUUUUUUAAGCAUUGGAUUUUUCCUUCUCAAUUUUAAGCAGUAAGUCUGGUUCUGGUCACCUUUCACGCAUAGGUGGUCUCUGUUACUAUGCAGAAAUCAAAUUCGCAGCUGCCUCUACCUGCUUCUAGACAUGCAGCCAAGCAGACCAGUAGCUUUAGCAUCUACUCCUUGCAGUAUGUUUCUAGUACAUGUGUAACCUUGAGAUAUCUGUUUUUGAAUGCACUAUGCCUUUUAAUGUGAUUUAUAUAUUAUAUAUGUUAAUUUACAUUAUAUAUACACACACAUAUACAUAUGCAUGUACAUACAUAUUUUCCCUAGUCACUGUUUUGGGUUUGGAGCUGGGGAUAGGGUGGGAUAGUUAACUGUUAACUUGAGGCACUAUCUUGGCCAGAAGUCAGUAUCUGUGCUUGGUGUAGGUGCUCAAUAAGUACCUGCUGAUUUUUAUGCCUAACUAGGACUCUGCUAUUCUCACACCUUAAGUCUAAGACAUAGGCAUGGAGCUAAAAUCCAAAACUGUGGGAGGGGUCAGCCCUGGCCUAGCUGUUGAGGUUACAUUUAAACUCAAACACAGAGUCAUGAGGUAAUCUUUCCGUCUCUAAAACUUUUCCCUUCCUACUUCACUUUCCAAGAUGAAUGUUCCCAGUGCCUACUUACCAUGGAGCAGAUCUUUGGCUCCCAAUGAGCAAAGGUUGGACACUGGCCCCACAGAAGUGUUGUUCUCUGUGGGAGCUACUGGGUUCUUGGCUCGCUUCUUACACUCAAACACAACCAGAUCUUUGCAUUGUUUGUGACAGUUCAUCCCGCAGUCUGUGGACAAGACAUCCUGGGUCAAGAAGUCUUUCACUUUUCUCUCUUCCCCAGUGUGUCUCACAACCAAAUUCAUGCAGUGCUUUCUUGUCACACAUGUCUGUUCUAUCUUCUGGAGCUAAGACACUUAACAUUCCUAAUGAAGCUAGCAUUCUUCUCACUUGGUGAAGCCCAGAGCUCACACUCUUGAUGUAGCCCUUAUCAGUGAAUCUCAGCAUCAGAAGCAGUAUCCUGAUAUCUUGGAGGGAAGAGAUGGUGUCCUGGUAUCCCAUACAUUCUGCCUACUCUAGGGAGACCCUCCGGAAACACUCAGCUGUUAGGUCUUAUUUUCUUUCUUGCAGUAAAAGGUUUCCUCUCUUUCACUCCUGAAUUCUCCUAGUCACAAGGAAGGACAGUUAUGUCCUGAGUGAUAAAGGAAAGCUGACAAGGGCCUUUAGUAAUCAUUUAUCUUCUGUUGCAGAAGAGAUUCUAUCUUUUUCACUGGGGACCCACCCUUCCAUGACUAUAUGAGAGCACCAUCUCCUACCUGCUAUCCCUGUUCUAGGCCAGCCACGACAGAAAGAGGAUUUUAUACAGAGAAAAUGCCUAUCUGUGCAACCAGGCAUUUCUCUCUUCGGUGUGGCGGUCAUUCACCGGGGGUGUCCGAGGGAAACCACUUUGGGGAUGAGACUCUGAACUAUGCUGAGAAGUUGUGGACUAAAUGGACAACUACUAUGGCACUUCUCCUUCCUGCCAGCAUGUGAAGAAGGAUGUGUUUGCUUCCCCUUCUGCCAUGAUUGUGAGUUUCCUUAGGCCUCACCAGCCCUGUGG